rnacentral:rRNA from 1 species
AACAGGAUUAGAUACCCUGGUAGUCCACGCCGUAAACUAUGGAUGCUAGCUGUGUGGCGUAUCGACCCGCUGCGUAGCGAAGCUAACGCAUUAAGCAUCCCGCCUGUGGAGUACGAGCGCAAGCUUAAAACAUAAAGGAAUUGACGGGGACCCGCACAAGCGGUGGAGCGUGUUGUUUAAUUCGAUGAUAAGCGAAGAACCUUACCCAGGUUUGACAUCCUACUAAUCUUUCCGAAAGGAAGGAGUGCCUUCGGGCCGUAGUGACAGGUGAUGCAUGGCCGUCGUCAGCUCGUGUCGUGAGAUGUUUGGUUAAGUCCAUCAACGAGCGCAACCCUUAUAGUUAGUUGGAUUUUUCUAGCUAGACUGCCCUGGUAACAGGGAGGAAGGAGGGGAUGAUGUCAGGUCAGUAUUUCCCUUACAUCUGGGGCUACAAACACGCUACAAUGGCCGGUACAAAGGGCAGCCAACCCGCGAGGGGGAGCAAAUCCCAUCAAAGCCGGUCUCAGUUCGGAUAGCAGGCUGAAACUCGCCUGCUUGAAGCUGGAAUCGCUAGUAACGGUAGGUCAGCACACUACCGUGAAUACGUUCCCGGGUCUUGUACACACCGCCCGUCAAACCAUGAAAGUCACCAAUACCUGACGUCUGGACUUGUUCUGGCCUAAGGUAGGGGGGAUGAUUGGGGUUAAGUCGUAACAAGGUAACC